rnacentral:rRNA from 1 species
GACGAACGCUGGCGGCAGGCCUAACACAUGCAAGUCGAACGAGUGGCGGACGGGUGAGUAAGGGAUGGGAAUCUGGCUUAUGGAGGGGGCUAACUACGGGAAACGGUAGCUAAUACCGCCUACGAUCGGUUGGGGCCAGGUGGGAUUAGGUAGGUGGUGGGGUAAAGGCUCACCAAGGCGACGAUCCCUAGCAGGUCUGAGAGGAUGACCAGCCACACUGGGACUGAGACACGGCCCAGACUCCUACGGGAGGCAGCAGUGGGGAAUAUUGCGCAAUGGGCGCAAGCCUGACGCAGCCAUGCCGCGUGUAUGAAGAAGGCCUUCGGGUUGUAAAGUUCUGUCGGUAGGGAGGCGUUACCUACAGAAGAAGCACCGGCUAACUCCGUGCCAGCAGCCGCGGUAAUAC